GAGUUUAAUCAUGGCUCAGGAUGAACGCUGGCGGCAUGCCUAACACAUGCAAGUCGAACGGGGUUUAUAUAACAGAACUCUCCGGAGGGAAGAUAUAUAAACCUAGUGGCGGACGGGUGAGUAACGCGUGGGCAACCUGCCCUGUACCCGGGGACAACAGCCGAGAAAUGGCUGCUAAUACCGCAUAAGCCUGCUGUGCCGCAUGGCACAGCAGGGAAAAACCCACGGUGGUACAGGAUGGGCCCGCGUCUGAUUAGUUAGUUGGCAGGGUAACGGCGUUACCAAGACAACGAUCAGUAGCCGGCUUGAGAGAGUGGACGGCCGACAUUGGGACUGAGACACGGCCCAGACUCCUGCGGGGGCAGCAGUGGGGAAUAUUGCACAAUGGGGGACCCUGAUGCAGCAAUGCCGCGU
rnacentral:rRNA from 1 species